GCCACCGUGGCGGAAUUGGUAGACGCAAGGGACUUAAAAUCCCUCGGCUAUUUAUUUGGCCGUGCCAGUUCAAUUCUGGCCGGUGGCA
rfam:Deltaproteobacteria bacterium RIFCSPHIGHO2_02_FTLL_40_11 rifcsphigho2_02_scaffold_39734, whole genome shotgun sequence.